AUGAACGCUGGCGGCGUGCCUAACACAUGCAAGUCGAACGGAGUCGUUUUGGAAAUCUCUUCGGAGAUGGAAUUCUCGACUUAGUGGCGGACGGGUGAGUAACGCGUGAGCAAUCUGCCUUUAAGAGGGGGAUAACAGUCGGAAACGGCUGCUAAUACCGCAUAAAGCAUUAAAUUCGCAUGUUUUUGAUGCCAAAGGAGCAAUCCGCUUUUAGAUGAGCUCGCGUCUGAUUAGCUAGUUGGCGGGGUAACGGCCCACCAAGGCGACGAUCAGUAGCCGGACUGAGCGGUUGAACGGCCACAUUGGGACUGAGACACGGCCCAGACUCCUACGGGAGGCGGCAGUGGGGAAUAUUGCGCAAUGGGGGAAACCCUGACGCAGCAACGCCGCGUGAUUGAAGAAGGCCUUCGGGUUGUAAAGAUCUUUAAUCAGGGACGAAACAAAUGACGGUACCUGAAGAAUAAGCUCCGGCUAACUACGUG
rnacentral:rRNA from 1 species